GGAAGUCCCUCCUUACAGCAUUUUGCUCCUAAUUUAGAUUAACGUGGCAAGUUCUUCAAGGCUUUGAGAUGCCUGCAAUUUCUGUGGAACUGUAAAUUUGCCUUAUUGUGCUGAACCAGACCAGUGUAAAUUGAGUGAGAUGGAGCAGAAGAGCCUACAAAAGAAAAGCAAUGAGAAACAGAAAAGAUCCAAGAAUUGAAAAAAUCUCUGAGGAGAAGAGCAGAAGAGCAAAAAAACAAAAAGAGAAGACAACAAAAAAACAUCUCGAGGAACAGGAAGGAUGGUAUGGAUCUCAGAGAUAAAUAAAGCUCAAAAGAGAAGAAAAACACUUAAAUGGAUUUCUGGAAA